UGAGGAACAUUGGUCAAUGGACGCAAGUCUGAACCAGCCAAGUAGCGUGCAGGAUGACGGCCCUAUGGGUUGUAAACUGCUUUUAUAUGGGGAUAAAGUGGGGAACGUGUUCCCUUUUGCAGGUACCAUAUGAAUAAGGACCGGCUAAUUCCGUGCCAGCAGCCGCGGUAAUACGGAAGGUUCGGGCGUUAUCCGGAUUUAUUGGGUUUAAAGGGAGCGUAGGCCGUUUGGUAAGCGUGUUGUGAAAUGUAGGAGCUCAACUUCUAGAUUGCAGCGCGAACUGUCAGACUUGAGUGCGCACAACGUAGGCGGAAUUCAUGGUGUAGCGGUGAAAUGCUUAGAUAUCAUGACGAACUCCGAUUGCGAAGGCAGCUUACGGGAGCGCAACUGACGCUAAAGCUCGAAGGUGCGGGUAUCGAACAGG
rnacentral:rRNA from 1 species